GACGAACGCUGGCGGCGUGCUUAACACAUGCAAGUCGAACGGAAAGGCUCCAGCUUGCUGGAGUACUCGAGUGGCGAACGGGUGAGUAACACGUGGGUAAUCUGCCCUGCACUCUGGGAUAAGCCUUGGAAACUGGGUCUAAUACUGGAUAUGACCUUUCUCCUUAUGGGGUUUGGUGGAAAGUUUUUCGGUGUAGGAUGAGCCCGCGGCCUAUCAGCUUGUUGGUGGGGUGAUGGCCUACCAAGGCGACGACGGGUAGCCGGCCUGAGAGGGUGAUCGGCCACAUUGGGACUGAGAUACGGCCCAGACUCCUACGGGAGGCAGCAGUGGGGAAUAUUGCACAAUGGGCGGAAGCCUGAUGCAGCGACGCCGCGUGAGGGAUGACGGCCUUCGGGUUGUAAACCUCUUUCAGCAGGGACGAAGCGUAAGUGACGGUACCUGCAGAAGAAGCACCGGCUAACUAUGUG
rnacentral:rRNA from 1 species